rnacentral:rRNA from 1 species
GGUAUUGAAAUAAGAUUUUAAAUGAGUGCUAAGAGAAUGAUUAAACAAUUAAAAGCUUUCUUUAAUUAAAAAAUUAAAUUUAAUUUUUUCAGUGCAAAAGCAAAAAUAAAAUUUAGGGACAAGAAGACCCUAUGAAUUUUUAUUGUUAAUAAUUAAAAUUUAAGUUAUUAAUAAUUUAAUUGGGGCGAUAAAAAAAGAAUAAGUAUCUUUUUAGUUAUAAAAUAAGUUCCGUUUUUAGCGAUUAAAUGAAAUAAAUACUCUAGGGAUAACAGCGUAAUAAUUUUGGAUAGUUCAUAUAGAUAAAAUAGUUUGCGACCUCGAUGUUGGAUUAGGAUUCUUUUUUGGUGAAGAA